CUAGGGGAUAGGACGGCGAGUUAGAUCGAAUAUCGGGUGUAGAGUCACGAGCGCGGACGGGUGAGUAACGCUGGGAAUCUACCCCAAACUGAGGGAUAAGCAUCGGAAACGGUGUCUAAUACCGCAUAUGGUCUUCGGAUUAAAGCCUUCGGCGGUUUGGGAAGAGCCCGCGUAAGAUUAGCUAGUUGGUGAGGUAAUGGCUCACCAAGGCGACGAUCUUUAACUGGUUUGAGAGGAUGAUCAGUCACACUGGAACUGAGACACGGUCCAGACUCCUACGGGAGGCAGCAGUGAGGAAUUUCCCACAAUGGGCGAAAGCCUGAUGGAGCAACGCCGCGUGCAGGAUGAAGGCUUUAGGGUUGUAAACUGCUUUUAUAUGUGACGAAUAUGACGGUAGCAUAUGAAUAAGGAUCGGCUAACUCCGUG
rnacentral:rRNA from 1 species